AUUGAACGCUGGCGGCAUGCCUUACACAUGCAAGUCGAACGGCAGCACGGGUGCUUGCACCUGGUGGCGAGUGGCGAACGGGUGAGUAAUACAUCGGAACAUGUCCUGUAGUGGGGGAUAGCCCGGCGAAAGCCGGAUUAAUACCGCAUACGAUCCACGGAUGAAAGCGGGGGACCUUCGGGCCUCGCGCUAUAGGGUUGGCCGAUGGCUGAUUAGCUAGUUGGUGGGGUAAAGGCCUACCAAGGCGACGAUCAGUAGCUGGUCUGAGAGGACGACCAGCCACACUGGGACUGAGACACGGCCCAGACUCCUACGGGAGGCAGCAGUGGGGAAUUUUGGACAAUGGGCGAAGGCCUGAUCCAGCAAUGCCGCGUGUGUGAAGAAGGCCUUCGGGUUGUAAAGCACUUUUGUCCGGAAAGAAAUCCUUGACUCUAAUACAGUCGGGGGAUGACGGUACCGGAAGAAUAAGCACCGGCUAACUACGUG
rnacentral:rRNA from 1 species